rnacentral:rRNA from 1 species
CAUUAGUUGCUACGCAAGGGCACUCUAAUGAGACGUGCCGGUGGACAAACCGGAGGAAGGUGGGGAUGACGUCAAGUCCUCAUGGCCCUUAUGGGUAGGGCUUCACACGUCAUACAAUGGUCGGUACAGAGGGUUGCCAAGCCGCGAGGUGGAGCCAAUCCCAGAAAGCCGAUCGUAGUCCGGAUUGUUCUCUGCAACUCGAGAGCAUGAAGUCGGAAUCGCUAGUAAUCGCGGAUCAGCAUGUCGCGGUGAAUACGUUCCCGGGCCUU